UACGUAGGGUGCAAGCGUUAAUCGGAAUUACUGGGCGUAAAGCGUGCGCAGGCGGUUUUGUAAGUCAGAUGUGAAAUCCCCGGGCUCAACUUGGGAAUGGCAUUGGAAACUGGCGGGCUGGAGUGUGGCAGAGGGGGGUGGAAUUCCACGUGUAGCAGUGAAAUGCGUAGAGAUGUGGAGGAACACCGAUGGCGAAGGCAGCCCCCUGGGCCAACACUGACGCUCAGGCACGAAAGCGUGGGGAGCAAACAGG
rnacentral:rRNA from 1 species